GACGAACGCUGGCGGCGUGCUUAACACAUGCAAGUCGAGGGGGCGCAGCAAUGCGUCACCGGCGAACGGGUGCGUAACACGUGAGCGACCUGCCCAACUGCGGGGGAUAGCCGGCCCAACGGCCGGGUAAUACCGCAUACGACACUGGCCGGGCAUCUGGCGAGUGUGAAACCGAUUGAGGGCGGUUGGAGGGGCUCGCGGCCUAUCAGCUAGUUGGUGCGGUCACG
rnacentral:rRNA from 1 species